GCUGGCGGCACGCCUUAUACAUGCAAGUCGAACGAAGUAGCAAUACUUAGUGGCAGACGGGUGAGUAACAUGUGGGUAUCUUCCCUUUGGUGAGGAAUAACACGAGGAAACUUGUGCUAAUACCUCAUAAGUCUUUACGGAGAAAGCUUUAUGCGCCAUUGGAUGAGCCCGCACUUGAUUAGUUAGUUGGCAGGGUAAUGGCCUACCAAGACUUUGAUCAAUAGCUGAUUUGAGAGGAUGAUCAGCCACAUUGGGACUGAGACACGGCCCAAACUCCUACGGGAGGCAGCAGUAAGGAAUCUUGCACAAUGGAGGAAACUCUGAUGCAGCGAUGCCGCGUGAGUGAAGAAGGCCUUUGGGUUGUAAAGCUCUUUCGUCGGGGAAGAAAAUGACUGUACCCGAAUAAGAAGGUCCGGCUAACUUCGUGCCAGCAGCCGCGGUAAUACGAAGGGACCUAGCGUAGUUCGGAAUUACUGGGCUUAAAGAGUUCGUAGGUGGUUGAAAAAGUUGGUGGUGAAAUCCCAGAGCUUAACUCUGGAACUGCCAUCAAAACUUUUCAGCUAGAGUAUGAUAGAGGAAAGCAGAAUUUCUAGUGUAGAGGUGAAAUUCGUAGAUAUUAGAAAGAAUACCAAUUGCGAAGGCAGCUUUCUGGAUCAUUACUGACACUGAGGAACGAAAGCAUGGGUAGCGAAGAGGAUUAGAUACCCUCGUAGUCCAUGCCGUAAACGAUGUGUGUUAGACGUUGGAAAUUUAUUUUCAGUGUCGCAGCGAAAGCGAUAAACACACCGCCUGGGGAGUACGACC
rnacentral:rRNA from 1 species